GGAGGAAAGCAGGGGAUCGAAAGACCUCGCGUUAUUGGAGCGGCCAAUGCCGGAUUAGCUAGUUGGUGAGGUAAAGGCUCACCAAGGCGACGAUCCGUAGCUGGUCUGAGAGGACGACCAGCCACACUGGGACUGAGACACGGCCCAGACUCCUACGGGAGGCAGCAGUGGGGAAUUUUGGACAAUGGGGGCAACCCUGAUCCAGCCAUGCCGCGUGAGUGAAGAAGGCCUUCGGGUUGUAAAGCUCUUUCGCAAGGAAAGAAAACUUAUCUACUAAUACUAGGUGAGGAUGACGGUACCUUGAUAAGAAGCACCGGCUAACUACGUGCCAGCAGCCGCGGUAAUACGUAGGGUGCGAGCGUUAAUCGGAAUUACUGGGCGUAAAGCGUGCGCAGGCGGUUUCGUAAGCCAGAUGUGAAAUCCCCGGGCUCAACCUGGGAACUGCGUUUGAAACUACAAGGCUAG
rnacentral:rRNA from 1 species